rnacentral:rRNA from 1 species
CCUACGGGAGGCAGCAGUAGGGAAUAUUGCACAAUGGGCGAAAGCCUGAUGCAGCAACGCCGCGUGUGCGAUGAAGGCCUUCGGGUUGUAAAGCACUUUUCUGAGGGAAGAGGAAGGACUGUACCUCAGGAAUAAGUCUCGGCUAACUACGUGCCAGCAGCCGCGGUAAU